rnacentral:rRNA from 1 species
GCAUAUCAAUAAGCGGAGGAAAAGAAACCAACAGGGAUUGCCUUAGUAACGGCGAGUGAAGCGGCAACAGCUCAAAUUUGAAAGCUGGCCCUUUCGGGGUCCGCGUUGUAAUUUGUAGAGGAUGAUUCGGCGAGGGCUCCCUCCUAAGUCCCCUGGAACGGGGCGUCAUAGAGGGUGAGAAUCCCGUAUGCGGUGGGUUGCCUUAGCCAUGUGAAUCUCCUUCGACGAGUCGAGUUGUUUGGGAAUGCAGCUCUAAAUGGGAGGUAAAUUUCUUCUAAAGCUAAAUACCGGCCAGAGACCGAUAGCGCACAAGUAGAGUGAUCGAAAGAUGAAAAGCACUUUGGAAAGAGAGUUAAAAAGUACGUGAAAUUGUUGAAAGGGAAGCGCUUGCAACCAGACUUGUCCGCAGUUGCUCAGCCGGUCUCCUGACCGGCGUACUCUUCUGCGGCCAGGCCAGCAUCAGUUCGGGCGGUCGGAUAAAGGCCUCGGGAAUGUAGCUCCUCUCGGGGAGUGUUAUAGCCCGGGGCGGAAUGCGGCCAGCCUGGACUGAGGAUCUCGCUUCGGCAAGGAUGCUGGCGUAAUGGUUGUAAGCGGCCCGUCUUGAAACACGGACC